GCCUUAGUGGUGUAGUGGUCAGCACGUUCGGCGAGUAACCGAGAGGUCCGUGGUUCGAUUCCCGACGAAGGCG
rnacentral:tRNA from 1 species